CGCGGGGUGGAGCAGCCCGGUCGCUCGUCAGGCUCAUAACCUGAAGGUCACAGGUUCAAAUCCUGUCCCCGCAACCA
rnacentral:tRNA from 1 species